AUGGUACACAUUCUAUACUUAAGUGAAAAUUUAAUCUUUAGUACUACAGCACAUUAUAUCAGAGAGCAAAUAAACUUCCAAAAAACUCCUCUGUGGCAUCACUCACCUGCUAAAGCCACAUCGGUUUUGAGAGAUGCAAAUGUGGCCAUCAAGGUAACUAGUCAAGGAUCUGGGAAUUCUAUUCUGGAGUACCAAUCUCUGUCUUUACAGAAUGGCGUCCCUUCGCACGUGGUGCCGCUGCUGCUGCCUCCAGCUCGCCCCGAAAACCCAGUUCCUGCAGCCGUGGCUCCUGGCCAGCUCGGCUUAUUUAGUGUCUCUGACAAAACCGGCCUUGUGGAAUUUGCAAGAAACCUGACCUCUUUUGGUUUGAAUCUGGUCGCUUCCGGAGGGACUGCAAAAGCUCUCAGGGAUGCUGGUCUAGCAGUCAGAGAUGUCUCCGAGUUGACGGGAUUUCCCGAAAUGUUGGGGGGACGUGUGAAAACUUUGCAUCCUGCAGUCCAUGCUGGAAUCCUGGCUCGUAAUAUCCCAGAAGAUAAUGCUGACAUGACCAGACUUGAUUUCAAUCUUGUAAGAGUUGUUGCCUGCAAUCUCUAUCCCUUUGUGAAGACAGUGGCUUCUCCAGGUGUAACUGUUGAGGAGGCUGUGGAGCAAAUUGACAUUGGUGGAGUAACCUUACUGAGAGCUGCAGCCAAAAACCAUGCUCGAGUGACAGUAGUGUGUGAACCAGAGGACUAUGUGGUGGUGUCCACGGAGAUGCAGAGCUCCGAGAAUAAGGACACCUCCUUGGAGACUAGACGCCAGUUAGCUUUGAAGGCAUUCACUCAUAGGGCACAAUAUGAUGAAGCAAUUUCAGAUUAUUUCAGGAAACAGUACAGCAAAGGCAUAUCUCAGAUGCCCUUGAGGUAUGGAAUGAACCCUCAUCAGACCCCUGCCUAGCUGUACACACUGAAGCCCAAGCUUCCCAUC